GUUCCUGUAGUGCAGUGUAUAUAGCAUGUUGGGCUUCUAAUCCAAAAGUCGUGAGUUCAAAUCUUACCUGGGAUG